rnacentral:rRNA from 1 species
AUUCCAGCUCCAAUAGCGUAUAUUAAAGUUGUUGCAGUUAAAAAGCUCGUAGUUGGAUUUCUGGGAGGGUGCCGCCGUCCGGCGUGUCCGUGUGCAGUGGCGCCCUUCCAUCCUUCUGUUAGCGUCUCUUGGCAUUCAUUUGCUGGUGGCGGGCUCAGAUAUUUUACCUUGAGAAAAUUAGAGUGUUUCAGGCAGGCUAGGCCGGAAUACAUUAGCAUGGAAUAAUGGAAUAGGACUACGGUCUCUUUGUUGGUUUGAGGGACUGCAGUAAUGAUUAAUAGGGAUAGUUGGGGGCAUUAGUAUUUAAUUGUCAGAGGUGGAAUUCUCAGAUUUGUUAAAGACUAACUUAUGCGAAAGCAUUUGCCAAGGAUGUUUUCAUUG